rnacentral:rRNA from 1 species
UACGGGGGGGGCAAGCGUUGUUCGGAAUUACUGGGCGUAAAGGGUGCGCAGGCGGCGUCGCAAGUCAGGCGUGAAAUCCCCGGGCUUAACCUGGGAACUGCACUUGAAACUACGAUGCUGGAGUAUGGCAGAGGGAGGUGGAAUUCCACGUGUAGCGGUGAAAUGCGUAGAGAUGUGGAGGAACACCGAUGGCGAAGGCAGCCUCCUGGGCCAAUACUGACGCUCAUGCACGAAAGCGUGGGGAGCAAACAGG